rnacentral:rRNA from 1 species
ACGAACGCUGGCGGCGUGCUUAACACAUGCCAGUCGAACGGAAAGGCCUCUUUCGGGGGGUACUCGAGUGGCGAACGGGUGAGUAACACGUGAGUAACCUGCCCUUGACUUUGGGAUAACUUCAGGAAACUGGGGCUAAUACCGGAUAGGAGCUCCUGCUGCAUGGUGGGGGUUGGAAAGUUUCGGCGGUUGGGGAUGGACUCGCGGCUUAUCAGCUUGUUGGUGGGGUAGUGGCUUACCAAGGCUUUGACGGGUAGCCGGCCUGAGAGGGUGACCGGCCACAUUGGGACUGAGAUACGGCCCAGACUCCUACGGGAGGCAGCAGUGGGGAAGAUUGCACAAUGGGUGGAAGCCUGAUGCAGCAACGCCGGGGGCGGGAGGACGGCCUUCGGGUUGGAAACCGCUUUCGCUCAUGACGAAGCUUUGUGUGACGGUAGUGGGUAAAGAAGCACCGGCUAACUACGUG